rnacentral:rRNA from 1 species
CGAGCGGUACAGGGGUAGCUUGCUACCCGCUGACGAGCGGCGGACGGGUGAGUAAUGCAUAGGAAUCUGCCCGAUAGUGGGGGAUAACCUGGGGAAACCCAGGCUAAUACCGCAUACGUCCUACGGGAGAAAGGGGGCUUUGGCUCCCGCUAUUGGAUGAGCCUAUGUCGGAUUAGCUAGUUGGUAAGGUAAUGGCUUACCAAGGCAACGAUCCGUAGCUGGUCUGAGAGGAUGAUCAGCCACAUCGGGACUGAGACACGGCCCGAACUCCUACGGGAGGCAGCAGUGGGGAAUAUUGGACAAUGGGGGCAACCCUGAUCCAGCCAUGCCGCGUGUGUGAAGAAGGCCCUCGGGUUGUAAAGCACUUUCAGCGAGGAAGAACGCCUGUCGGUUAAUACCCGGUAGGAAAGACAUCACUCGCAGAAGAAGCACCGGCUAACUCCGUGCCAGCAGCCGCGGUAAUACGGAGGGUGCAAGCGUUAAUCGGAAUUACUGGGCGUAAAGCGCGCGUAGGUGGCUUGAUAAGCCGGUUGUGAAAGCCCCGGGCUCAACCUGGGAACGGCAUCCGGAACUGUCAGGCUAGAGUGCAGGAGAGGAAGGUAGAAUUCCCGGUGUAGCGGUGAAAUGCGUAGAGAUCGGGAGGAAUACCAGUGGCGAAGGCGGCCUUCUGGACUGACACUGACACUGAGGUGCGAAAGCGUGGGUAGCAAACAGGAUUAGAUACCCUGGUAGUCCA